rnacentral:rRNA from 1 species
GACGAACGCUGGCGGCGCGCUUAACACAUGCAAGUCGAACGGAAAGGCCUGCUUUCCCUUGUGGAUUGCGGGUACUCGAGUGGCGAACGGGUGAGUAACACGUGAGUGAUCUGCCCCCAACUUGGGUAUAAGCCUGGGAAACUGGGUCUAAUUCCCGAUAGGACUGCAGGGUGGUGCCUGUGGUGGAAAACGAUUUUCUAGUGGUUGGGGAUGAGCUCGCGGCCUAUCAGCUUGUUGGUGGGGUAAUGGCCUACCAAGGCGGCGACGGGUAGCCGGCCUGAGAGGGUGGACGGCGACAUUGGGACUGAGAUUCGGCCCAGACUCCUACGGGGGGCAGCAGUGGGGAAAAUUGCACAAUGGGCGGAAGCCUGAUGCAGCGACGCCGCGUGGGGGAUGACGGCCUUCGGGUUGUAAACUCCUUUCGACCGCGAGGAAGCCACCUGGUUGGAAGGGUGGUGACGGUAGUGGUAGAAGAAGCACCGGCUAACUACGUG